rnacentral:rRNA from 1 species
AACGAACGCUGGCGGCGUGCUUAACACAUGCAAGUCUAGGUGGCUUUGGUCUUCGGAUCAAAGCAAACUGGCGAACGGGUGAGUAACACGUAAGAAACCUGCCCCUAUGUCUGGGAUAACAAUAGGAAACUGUUGCUAAUACCGGAUACGCGGCUUUAUCGCAUGAUGGAGUCGGAAAGUCGGUCAUGCUGACGCUUAGGGAUGGUCUUGCGUACCAUUAGCUUGUUGGUAGGGUAACGGCCUACCAAGGCAACGAUGGUUAGCCGGUCUGAGAGGGCGACCGGUCACACUGGAACUGAGAUACGGUCCAGACUCCUACGGGAGGCAGCAGUGGGGAAUUUUGCGCAAUGGUCGAAAGACUGACGCAGCAACGCCGCGUGGAUGAUGAAGGUCUUCGGAUUGUAAAAUCCUUUUGUAAGGGAAGAAAAAGCAUGAGAGUAACUGCUCAUGCCCUGACGGUACCUUACGAAUAAGCUCCGGCUAACUCCGUGCCAGCAGCCGCGGUAAUACGGAGGGAGCAAGCGUUGUUCGGAUUUACUGGGCGUAAAGCGCACGUAGGUGGUUUGUCAAGUCAGUGGUUAAAGUCGUCGGCUCAACCGACGUUAUGCCAUUGAAACUGACAGACUAAGUGGCGGAGAGGGUAGUAGAAUUCACAGUGUAGCGGUGGAAUGCGUGAUAUUGUG